GAUCAGUGAUGAAAAUUAGCCAAAUAUGAGAGCUCGGGCAAGAAGUGCCUCAGCCUGUGA
rnacentral:snoRNA from 12 species